rnacentral:miRNA from 1 species
UAACUGAUUUUCGGCUAAGAU